AACGAACGCUGGCGGCAGGCUUAACACAUGCAAGUCGAACGCUGUAGCAAUACAGAGUGGCGCACGGGUGAGUAAUACUUGGGAACGUGCCCUUCAGUCUGGGAUAACCACUGGAAACGGUGGCUAAUACUGGAUAUUCCCUCCGGGGGAAAGAUUUAUCGCUGAAGGAUCGGCCCAAGCCAGAUUAUGGUAGUUGGUGGGGUAAUGGCCUACCAAGCCUACGAUCUGUAGCUGGUCUGAGAGGAUGAUCAGCCACACUGGAACUGAGACACGGUCCAGACUCCUACGGGAGGCAGCAGUGGGGAAUAUUGGACAAUGGGCGCAAGCCUGAUCCAGCCAUGCCGCGUGAGUGAUGAAGGCCUUAGGGUUGUAAAGCUCUUUUGUCAGGGAAGAUAAUGACGGUACCUGAAGAAUAAGCACCGGCUAACUUCGUGCCAGCAGCCGCGGUAACAC
rnacentral:rRNA from 1 species